CAAAGAUUAAGCCAUGCAUGUCCAAGUAUAAGCAAUCUAUACGGUGAAACUGCGAAUGGCUCAUUAAAUCAGUUAUCGUUUAUUUGAUAGUACCUUACUACAUGGAUAACCGUGGUAAUUCUAGAGCUAAUACAUGCUAAAAACCCCGACUUCGGAAGGGGUGUAUUUAUUAGAUAAAAAACCAGCGCCCUUCGGGGCUCCUUGGUGAUUCAUAAUAACUCAACGAAUCGCAUGGCCUUGCGCCGGCGAUGGUUCAUUCAAAUUUCUGCCCUAUCAACUUUCGAUGGUAGGAUAGUGGCCUACCAUGGUAUCAACGGGUAACGGGGAAUUAGGGUUCUAUUCCGGAGAGGGAGCCUGAGAAACGGCUACCACAUCCAAGGAAGGCAGCAGGCGCGCAAAUUACCCAAUCCCGACACGGGGAGGUAGUGACAAUAAAUACUGAUACAGGGCUCUUUUGGGUCUUGUAAUUGGAAUGAGUACAAUUUAAAUCCCUUAACGAGGAACAAUUGGAGGGCAAGUCUGGUGCCAGCAGCCGCGGUAAUUCCAGCUCCAAUAGCGUAUAUUAAAGUUGUUGCAGUUAAAAAGCUCGUAGUUGAACCUUGGGCCUGGCUGGCCGGUCCGCCUCACCGCGUGUACUGGUCCGGCCGGGCCUUUCCUUCUGGGGAGCCGCAUGCCCUUCACUGGGCGUGUCGGGGAACCAGGACUUUUACUUUGAAAAAAUUAGAGUGUUCAAAGCAG
rnacentral:rRNA from 1 species